rnacentral:lncRNA from 1 species
UCUGAGACCUCUUCCGCCAUGGCUUCUUCUGUGACAGCUGAACCUUGCGAAACAUCCUCUUUCAUAAUCUCUGAUAUGAUCUUCGAAUCUACAGGAGUGGAGAGUGAACUCUGGACAUCAUUGUCGUCGUCGUCUCUCUCUGUUCUUCGUCAUCGUCUAUAUCUGUUCCUCAUCGUCUCUCUCUGUUUUCCUCGUCGUAUCUUUCUCUGUGUUCCCAGUCAUCUGUUCUUAGUCGUCG